AAGUCGUAACAAGGUUUCCGUAGGUGAACCUGCGGAAGGAUCAUCAUUGAAUUCAUUUCUCUACAAACCCUGUGAACUGUACGGUUGAGCGUUUGGCGGGUAAGAGGUGGCAAAGGGGGCUGCUGUGCGCGGCUCCCUUUCUUCCUCUGUGCGUGUCGCGUCGUUGAGGCGCGCGUGCGCCCGCCACCUGCUCGCAUUUUAAACAAACUCUUUAAGCAUCCUUAACUGAAACAAUAAAUUUAAACUAAAACAACUUUCAACAAUGGAUCUCUUGGCUCUC
rnacentral:misc_RNA from 1 species